rnacentral:rRNA from 1 species
GAACCGUCCAAACGUUAUUCGGAAUCACUGGGCUUAAAGGGUACGUAGGCGGCGCUGUCAGUCGGGUGUGAAAUCCCACGGCUCAACCGUGGAACUGCGCCCGAUACUGCAGUGCUUGAGGGAGACAGAGGUAAGCGGAACUGAUGGUGGAGCGGUGAAAUGCGUUGAUAUCAUCAGGAACACCGGUGGCGAAAGCGGCUUACUGGGUCUCUUCUGACGCUGAGGUACGAAAGCUAGGGGAGCGAAGGGGAUUAGAUACCCCCGUAGUCCUAGCUGUAAACGUUGAGCACUUGAUCGAGGGCCCCCCCAUAGGCUCUCGGUCGUAGCGAAAGUGUUAAGUGCUCCGCCUGGGGAGUAUGGUCGCAAGGCUGAA